CCGAUAAUGCAUGAUAAUAUUAUAAUAAAAGUUAGAACAAUAUUAUAUUAUAAGUUUUGCAUUAAGGAUAUUAUAAUAUAGUAUAUUUAAACAAUCAGUAAAAUUUACUUAUGAUAAUAAUAAUAAUAUAAUGUAUAAUUAUGAUGCAAAUAUAAUUGUAAUAAUAUCCGUAAAAUAAUGUAAUCGUCGCGUAUCUAACACCGACAAAAUGCCCUCGUCGCCAUUUGCUUAGGUGUAGGAAUCUAGCUUAUUGAUUUCAACAGAAUAAAUUAAAAAAUAAAAAAUAAAUAAUAUCAGUGCUUGAAUAUUGAAAAGAAAAUUCAACGGGGGAUGUACAAGUGCAAAAAAAAAUUGUAUUUUGUACGACGUAUACCCGAAUAAUUAAACGCCUUUAUGUUCGUAUAUUAUAUGAAUAAUGAAAAAUAAAUACGUAGAUGUGCAGUAAAAUAUAUGUAAAAAGAAGAGAUAGAUACUCCAUCCUCCCCCUCUAAAAUUCUGUACUGUAUUGCGGACUACUAGUAUUGAAUGAUAAAAAUUAUACACAGAGUUGGGCAGUAUUUUCGACACGGGUAUCUCAGAUACAAUAUUUUAUCUUGUAUCGCGAAACAGUUCUGGAAGGUAUCGAACAUAUUAUAUUGUGAUAUUGAAAUCGAUGUAUCGAGUAUUCAAUAUUUAAAUACAUAACAUGUAAAUAUCGAAUAUCUUGUAGUGCAAUAUUUGUUACAUAGGUAUAUAAUAUGUGGUAUCUAAAUACUGAAAAUCAAUUUUAUGUAUCUAAUAUCGAGUAUCUAGAUAAUCAUUUUGAAAUAAAGCUAGUUUGCCCAUCCUUGCUUAUAUAUAUAUAUAGUGUUUGUGCAGAUAUUGGCUAAUCAUUUUCAAGUGAAAUAAAAUAUUAUAUUGGUAUUUAUCGAGGACACAAUGUACUUGUAUAAACAAACCAUUUACGACCGAGGGAGGAUUCCUUAUUUUGCGGUAAAAGUCACCGGCAGGUCUGUCCCCCGGACACUUGAAAAUAAAACAGUUCAAGUGCAACAAAUACGAGGAAAGUUCACUUUUUUUUUUUUGGAAAAUGUCUAAUAGUUAAGAACACAACAUUGAAUGCUUUAACCUGUAGGUGAGUUCGGUGCAGAAAUAAUACUUCAAGUAAGUCUGCACGUCUAUUAUAAAUAUGGAGAAUAUAUUGCUAUGGACUUGUUUGAUCCAAAAAAUUCUUUUUUUUGCAAAGAGCAAAAGGAAGACGAGUCCACAGAUUUAAAAUUGAAAUAAACAUCGGUCAUACAGUAGGUGCUUGUACUUAUACGUGUGUUUAAUUAUAAUAUAAUUAUUAUGCUUAUUUGAUAAUGAACUUUUCAUUCGAUUAUCACCUAAAAUCCAACCUUUAAACCCAACACUAUACAAAACGAUCAUGUCUUGUUGCACCGAGCUCUUUGAUUGUAUUUUAUUUUCGCGACAAGGCGACGAAGAUUAUUCAAGGUGGUGGGUGUUCGAUUUGACAGUUUAUUAAAUUGAAAAUGUGUAGAACGUGUUUAUAUUUAUUGUUAUUAUGCGUAAAAUAAUAUUAAUAAUUAAUAAACGAGUACAACUAUGGCGUUUACCGACUAAAUUAAAAUAUGAUUAUAAUAAUAUAAAAUGUAAUAUAAAUAAAUAGAAACAAAUCGAUAAUAUCACAAUAGGUACUUAUAAGGUAAGAAUCGUUUAAAUAUCAUAUUUUAAAUUGUUUUAAUUGACAGAUAAAUAUUAUAGUGGUCAAAAUGAUGAUGAUAUUAUAUUAUAUUAAACAAGGUCUUCUAAAUUAUAUACAAUUUGGAAGACCCUGUAUAAUAUGUUUACAUAUUUUAUUUAUAAUAUAUAAUUAUUAUAUUAUAUUGUUGUGUUAUAUUAUAGUCGAAUGAUGAAGCUUUUAAAUGUUUACAAGACUCACUUAACACGUUUUAAGAGUAUAAUAAUAAGAUAAAAUUAUAAUAUUAUAAUAUUAUGUCUACGUAUAGAAAGUACAAGUAUAUAAGAUAAGCAUUAUAAAAAAUAAGUAUUUUUUUUUUCGUUUUCAACAUUAAUAUCUUCUCUAUAUUUAUAUAUAAAUUCAUGCCAGCCGUAAGUAUAGAGCUAUUAUUAUAAUGUUAUAAGAAACAAUGCGUAAUAUAUUUGUUAGAAUACGGAAAUUUAUAUUUAUACAUAAAUUACAGUACGUUCGUGUGAAGUUUUUCUUCGAUAAUUCUCCGGCCCUCUCGGUGUUUUCCUCCCGCAAAAAACUUCGUAGGAUAAGCCAAACGGAUAAUUUGGAUUCCGGGAAGAGAGAGGGGGUGGGGUUACCCGUCACAGAGAUUCUCGGACACAUUAUUUAAACUUCUAACGCACGAAUAUAAAAUAUAAGAGAAAAAAAUAGCAUACUUACAAAUUAUUAUUAUUACAUUAUAGAUGUGUAUAAUAUAAUACGCCCUGUGUUAGAUAAACGUAAAUUUACAUAAAGUUUUAUCGAAAUAGGAUAGUUAAAUUUUUUUUUUAGAAUAUAAUGUUUUAAGUAUACAUAGUAAAAAAAGAAACAUAACAUUAAAAAAAUCUAUUAUUAUCAAUUAUUAAUAUAUUUUAUAUUAUUAUAAUAGAUAUAGUGUACUUUGGCGAUCGUCCGUGUUCCUAUUUUAACGGUUUAGCGAACCGUUCACAGCUGUUGUGUGCCCGUUACGGCCGUAAAAUACUAAAAAGAAAAAAAAAACAGUGAAAACUAAAAGUACAGAUUUUUAAUCUAUACGUACAAUAUUAACGAAAACUUUAAAUUAUUACAGCUUACAUAAUAUAAAAUAAAAAAUAAUAAUACAAUUAACGAACAAUAAAUAUUUACAGUAUGUUAUAAUAACAUAAUUUUAUGUAUAGUAGGUAUAUACCUAUAAUUAUAUUAUAGUUCCCGUAUCCGUGUUACACGACCAUCAUAAUAUUAUGCAGCUAGUGUUAUUAUGGAAUGUUAAUUUUCGUACACGGUGUUUCUUAUUGGUCCUGGGGAUAAUAACGGUAAUAACGGAUGUUGGUGAAAUAUUAUUAUCGUUCCAGAAUCAAAUAAUUAGCACAAUAGGCGACUGUAUCUACACUCACACAGCGAGUAUAUACUUCUAAAUGUGAAUGAACAAAAAUAUAUAGAUGGAUAAUUUUUUUACGAAUUUCUACGUCCAUAUAAAAUUGUGGAGGCAGGUAUUAUGUAUAGGUAUACAUAUCUAUGAUUUUAUUUGUAUUCAGUUUUCGAGCAUUUCAAAAGAAUAAGUUCACUACACUGUAAGUAGGUGAUGUAUAAAAUAUUAUUGUACCUAUCGAAGAGGUCUUACUCUCCCCGCUACUUUCGUUUCAAAAUUACUACAGGAAUUCAUUUCUUUUUUCAAUUCACAAUUCACUCCUAUUGCAAAUAAUUGAUAGCCAGAAUUUCCCUCAUAUAUAAUAGUUUAUUCCUAUACGUCUUCGGUACCUACAUUAUAAUAUUAGGUGUUUUAAAUAAUCUUCAUAUUAUUCAUAAUAAUCAGCAGCCAAAAGCGCCGUUAUCUAACGAUUUCACGUCCGCACUGCACGUAAUAUUAAAAACGUUCGCACGUCGGUGCACACGUGCCGGUGAAACUGAAGAGGAAAAGAAAAACAAAAUAUUCAUCGAUAUAUUAUUAUUAUACACUUAUGUGACCUAUACGUGAGUUUAUGUUGAGAUCGAGCGAAAACAACGGAGGAAAAAAACGAGGGGAAAUGUAUUUGUGCGCGUACCAAAAUGAAAGAGAGCUAGAGAGAGGGAAAACUAGAGAGUAAUGACAUUUUGUGAAAAGACGCAGACAGAUAGACGCGACGAAUGGACGACCGCAACUAUAUUGCAUGACUAUACUUUACGAUGGCGGCGACCAAUAAGUGUCUUUGGCACUAGAUCAAAACCGGAGAAAAUAAAAAUUAGGGGGGGGGGGAGGGUAAGGAAUCUCCGUAGAAAAUUCAACCCUAAACAUCGAUGUUCCGAACAAAUAC